CUACGGGGGGCAGCAGUGGGGAAUAUUGCACAAUGGGGGGAACCCUGAUGCAGCAACGCCGCGUGGAGGAUGACACAUUUCGGUGCGUAAACUCCUUUUAUAUAAGAAGAUAAUGACGGUAUUAUAUGAAUAAGCACCGGCUAACUCCGUGCCAGCAGCCGCGGUAAUACGGGGGGUGCAAGCGUUACUCGGAAUCACUGGGCGUAAAGAGCAUGUAGGCUGGUUUGUAAGUUGGAAGUGAAAUCCUAUGGCUUAACCAUAGAACUGCUUCCAAAACUACUUACCUAGAGUAUGGGAGAGGUAGAUGGAAUUUCUGGUGUAGGGGUAAAAUCCGUAGAGAUCAGAAGGAAUACCGAUUGCGAAGGCGAUCUACUGGAACAUUACUGACGCUCAGAUGCGAAAGCGUGGGGAGCGAACAGGAUUAGAUACCCCUGUAGUC
rnacentral:rRNA from 1 species